GAUGAACGCUGGCGGCGUGCCUAAUACAUGCAAGUCGAGCGAACAGACGAGGAGCUUGCUCCUCUGACGUUAGCGGCGGACGGGUGAGUAACACGUGGAUAACCUACCUAUAAGUCUGGGAUAACUUCGGGAAACCGGAGCUAAUACCGGAUAAUAUAUUGAACCGCAUGGUUCAAUAGUGAAAGACGGUUUUGCUGUCACUUAUAGAUGGAUCCGCGCUGCAUUAGCUAGUUGGUAAGGUAACGGCUUACCAAGGCAACGAUGCGUAGCCGACCUGAGAGGGUGAUCGGCCACACUGGAACUGAGACACGGUCCAGACUCCUACGGGAGGCAGCAGUAGGGAAUCUUCCGCAAUGGGCGAAAGCUUGACGGAGCAACGCCGCGUGAGUGAUGAAGGUCUUCGGAUCGUAAAACUCUGUUAUUAGGGAAGAACACAUGUGUAAGUAACUAUGCACGUCUUGACGGUACCUAAUCAGAAAGCCACGGCUAACUACGUG
rnacentral:rRNA from 1 species